rnacentral:rRNA from 1 species
CCUACGGGAGGCAGCAGUGGGGAAUUUUCCGCAAUGGGCGAAAGCCUGACGGAGCAACGCCGCGUGAGGGAUGAAGGCCUCUGGGCUGUAAACCUCUUUUAUCAAGGAAGAAGAUCUGACGGUACUUGAUGAAUAAGCCACGGCUAAUUCCGUGCCAGCAGCCGCGGUAAUACGGGAGUGGCAAGCGUUAUCCGGAAUUAUUGGGCGUAAAGCGUCCGCAGGCGGUCUUGUAAGUCUGUCGUUAAAGCGUGGAGCUCAACUCCAUUUCGGCGGUGGAAACUACAAGACUAGAGUGUGGUAGGGGCAGAGGGAAUUCCCGGUGUAGCGGUGAAAUGCGUAGAUAUCGGGAAGAACACCAGUGGCGAAGGCGCUCUGCUGGGCCAUAACUGACGCUCAUGGACGAAAGCUAGGGGAGCGAAAGGGAUUAGACACCCCUGUAGUCCUAGCCGUAAACGAUGAACACUAGGUGUCGGGGGAAUCGACCCCUCGGUGUCGUAGCUAACGCGUUAAGUGUUCCGCCUGGGGAGUACGCACGCAAGUGUGAAACUUAAAUGAAUUGACGG